ACAUGGAAGUGCACAUUCUCUGAGACAGAUCACAUGUGAAGCCACAAAACAAGUCUUAAUAAAUUUAAGAAGACUGAAAUCAUAUUAAGCAUCUUUUUCAACCACAAUGGUGUAAAACAUGUGGAGGCUAAACAACAUGCUAUUAAACGACCAAUGGGUCAAUGAAGAAAUCAAAAAGGAAAUAAAUAAAAUAGCAUGAGACAAAUGAAAAUGGAAAGCCAACAUUCCAAAAUCUUUCGGGCAGAACAAAAGCAGUUCUAACAGGCAAGUUUAUACUGAUAUGGGCCCUCUUCAAGAAACAAAUCUCAGGGUUGCCUGAGUGGCUCAGUUGGUUAAGUGUCUGGCUUGGACUCAGCCAGCAUAGGGACAGACAGGCCAGGGAAAGUGGUGACCCUAUAACCAUUCUGGAGAAUAACCUCUGGCAAUUUUUACCUUCUAGGAUUUGAUGGACCCUGGAGUCCCGCACAUACUGCUGAACAGCAUAGUCCUUCAGGUAGCCAUAGCCUCCAUGCAUCUGUAACGCCUGGUUG